rnacentral:misc_RNA from 1 species
UGAUCGUUUAGGGUCUUUUUUGCUAUCUUCUGACAUAUUUGGAGAAUCUCCCAAAUUGGUCCUGUUUUUGGGACAAUACUGCUCUGCUCUUUGUGUCUCUCUUCUUCACAAAUAUUCAGGAUCUUGUACUGUUGGCUGCUGGAUAUGUUCAGGAAAAAUGGGCAGUGUAGGGAAUGGAUUUGGGAUUGUCAAUUGUAAAUAAAAAGAGGAGUUUUUCAUUGAGUUGCUUUAGUGAAACUUGCUGAUAACCAAAUUAGGUCGACGGGUGAUACAAUUCCUAGCAGCUAAUGAAUAUGAUAUAACAUGAUAUGGUUAUGCUUUUAAAAACAGACAAGGGUAGAUUGUAUUUCACUGUUUAUAAUGAUGAGUAAAUGGAUCCUAAAUUAUGGAUGUCAAGCUUUCUAUGAGACACGACAUUCUAUUUAUAUUAUUGGUUUGCCCUUUCUACUGGUGUCUUGUUGUGUUUGGCAACUUAAAAAUUUAUUGAUAAAGGGAGAGGAAAUGUUUUAUUUUGUUUGGAUGAAGAGGAUGGGAAGGGAAAUGUAAUUAUAAAUAAAAUUAAAGAGGGUAAUAAGGUUCUCCAUCAAAGUUGGAUUUUUUUACAACCCAAAUUGGGUUGCAAUCAAUUUCAAUUCCUGGAAGGGAAUGAAGAUGAAUAAUUACCCUCCCUUCCCUUGCCCUCCUUUUCUUUUAAAAAAAGAAAAUUCCCAAAUAAGGUGGUUAAAGAUUUCACCUCCAUCCUGCUCCCUUCCUCUUCGUUCCACUCCCAUCCAUGCAUAAUGUUAAUCUAGUGGUAAAGGUGAAAGAAUUUAUGAGUGUGUGUUAAUUUUUGAAAUCUCAUCAAUAAUAAUUUUCUCCCUAGUACUAAAAAAGUAAUUUCAGUUUGCCUUCUCCCCUUAGACGAGCAUUGCCUUCAAACAAAUAGAAAUAUGAUUAAAUUCAUCCAUUGAGAUUGAUGCCUGCCCUCAUGCCUCUCAAGGGUGCCAACUAGUUCAGUGAUUUUCAAGAUGCAAAUUGAAAUUCAGAAAUUUGGUGACUUUAAUAAGAUUUAGCAGUGACUACAGGAGAACUUUACCUCAUUCUUCUCUAUUCUAUUUCCCUAAUAUUUUACUUCACUUUCUUCUCCAUUUUAUUGUUGAUCAAUCAGUUGCUUGAAAGGCUACACGAGAAAUGGAGUUUAGUAAAAAAGCAACCAUACCCAGCAAUGUAUUCUAGCGUGUAUGGAGGAAUAAUUCUUGAUCCUGCAAUUAUGGUGAUUCCUAUAGAUGAUCACAUGGUUCAUCGAGGGCAUGGAGUGUUCGAUACAUCUAUUAUUUAUGAUGGAUAUCUUUAUGAACUUGAUGUCCAUUUGGACCGCUUUCUACGAUCAGCAUCUAAAGCAAAGAUAUCUUCUCCUUUCCCUCGCUCAACUCUUCGAAGCAUUCUUAUUCAAAUGACAGCAGUAUCGAAAUGCAAGAAAGGAACUCUAAGAUUCUGGCUAAGUGCAGGCCCUGGAAACUUCUUGCUUUCGCCUGCAGGUUGCCCAACUUCUGCUUUCUAUGCUGUAGUUAUUGAUGAUGACUUCUCCCAGUGCAAGGAGGGGGUUAAAGUGAUAACUUCCACUAUCCCCAUGAAGUCACCUUUGUUUGCAACUACGAAAAAUGUGAACUAUCUCCCUAAUGUCCUCUCAGUAAUGGAAGCCGAAGAGAAGGGAGCAUUUGCUUCUAUCUGGGUUGAUAACGAAGGCUAUAUCGCUGAGGGUCCAAAUGUGAAUGUGGCUUUCAUAACCCAAGAUAAGGAGCUUAUCUUACCUUCAUUUGACAAGAUCCUUAGUGGUUGCACUGCAUUAAGGCUUCUUCAACUAGCACCUAAAUUGGUCGAGCAAGGGCAAUUAAAAAGUGUUAAAAUUGCUGAUCUUACUGUUCAAGAGGCCAAAAGGGCAGCUGAAAUGAUGUAUGUUGGAAGCACGCUUCCUCUCUUGCCAAUUGUUAUGUGGGAUGAGCAAUCCAUUGGAGAUGGAAAGGUAGGAGAGUUAACAAUGGCACUCUCUGAUCUGCUUUGGGAAGAUAUGGUUGCAGGCGACGGCAUGCAAAGGGUACCUGUUCCUUAUGAGAAGCUAGCCACAUAGAUUCAAUAGCUGAGACCAAAGGAAUGAUUUCAACUUAAACUUCAGCUUCUCUCAUUGCUCAUUGUUAUUUUCCUGCUGCUUGCCAAGGGACUUGCUUUGGCUAGUCAUUGUUCAUGGAAUAAAUCAAUUGACGUUUGAUUUUGCUCUGUUCAUUAGUCCAAAGUGUAUAAUGAACAUAAUUACGCCUAUAAUAAUUACCUGCAUUGAAUUAAGACCUUCAUUUGAUGAACAGAAUGCAAUGACAUAAACGCAUGUUAGCAAGAG